UUCACCCUAAGCAAACAAGAAACCAAACAGAAUGUUAGGAUUUGCUAGAGAUGGGAUUUACCUGCAGCAGAACAUGACUUUAUCAGAAUCCCGGAGAUACUUCCAGAAGAACUUGUUCUACCAGCACGAUCAUUUUGAAGGUCUUCAUCCACAUUUCUGCAAUAAAAAGAGUUGAAACCCCAUGUUUUAUAACAAGAUCUUCAGUGCAAGUGUGCUGCAGGACUUCAAGAAGAGCCACAGUUACCACCCCUGCUUAACUGUUAAGAACAGGAUCAUCCUUGUUCCUAUUAAAGCAUGCUCGUGAUCUGGACUCUGGGACCCAAGCAGGACUGGGGGACACGUCUGGUAAGGCAGAGUGUGGCCUAAGCCCAGGAGAAAAACAAGAAUAUUGGAGGCCUCUCCUUGUCAGGAAAUGGGAUUUCCGCAGCGGGUGGUAAGAAGCUGAAUGGUCUUCAUCCCCUUGCCACCGUCCCAGGAUUUGAAAGAGUGACAUAGUAUUUUAUCCCUUUACAAGAUGAGGGAUGCAGAAGUUGUGGGAUUUGCCUCUCCCACUGAGGUGCUGCUGGCUGGUUCGCUGCCUGGCGGAGGGUGGGUGUAAGAGCUGAUUUAACCUGGAAACAAAGCGUGUAUCCUUUCUCAGGAGAUCCACAGCAGGGCUGAAGAAUUGCAAACGUUGCAUCCGUUUCCUCCUGCCAUCUGCUCCCCCGUGACUGCAGUGCCUGCGCUGUGCUCUUAGCUCACCCUGCAAAUGCUCCUUGUGAUGGAAGGUGGUACAGAGCUGGUGCAGAGGACUCCACGUUUGUUGGCAGUAUCCUUGCUUGCAUUCCACUGGCACCAGCUGCUCGACGCCCAGGAACCCAAGGUGGCACAUGCUCUUCCAUCCUCUUCCAAUUUUCAGGUGAAGGUCUAUAUCGCAUUAACCUCUUUUGUUCUGGAGGGAAGUGGUAAAGCUGUUAUUUACUUAUUUUUAAGAAAAACGUGUUAAACCCAAGUGGGAGAAACAACUGCAUUGCGUACUGCGGUUGGGAGCGCAGGGCAUUUGCGUUCCAUCUGAUCUUGAGCUUCCACUCCCUGCAGUUACUAAAUGUGGUAGCUGUUGGCAUGAGCAUAGACCCAGAGAUGGGCAGGACUAGUUUGCCAUGCCAAAUAUUUUUCUGUUGCCCUCAUCCUAUUUUCUAGAACCAAAGAUUUUACUGUGAUAAAGAUGACAUCUUAAAGCACUGUAGGAGGUAAGAGGAUGGUACUGCACAUGACCUGAACUUGGAUUAGGUAUGUCUCUGAUCCUGUAUCCAUCUUGAAGCUUACCAGUGAAUAACCACGUUUAUGAACAAUGAAAAUAGGACCUUCUUAUUCUGUAAAUACAAAAAAGAAAGGAACAGCUUUGAAAAUCCAGCCGUCUUUCAAGUUCUCUGAAAGCAUACAGACCCUGAGUCAUCACAGUGAAAUUCAACAGGGAUGUUCUUAUGAGUGGACUGAGAACAUAGAUGUGGUUUUAUCUGUGGAAACCUGUAUUUUUUCCAGUAGUCUUCAUUACUGUAAUAAACGAUGCUAUCUCUCCCUGCA